AUGAACGCUGGCGGCGUGCCUAACACAUGCAAGUCGAGCGGUAACAGGUGUAGCAAUACAUGCUGACGAGCGGCGAACGGGUGAGUAAUGCUUCGGAAUCUGCCCAAUGGUGGGGAAUAACCAGCCGAAAGGUUGGCUAAUACCGCAUAAGUCCUACGGGGGAAAGCAGGGGAUCGUAAGACCUUGCGCCGAUGGAUGAGCCGAAGUCGGAUUAGCUAGUUGGUAGGGUAACGGCCUACCAAGGCGACGAUCCGUAGCUGGUCUGAGAGGACGACCAGCCACACUGGGACUGAGACACGGCCCAGACUCCUACGGGAGGCAGCAGUGGGGAAUAUUGGACAAUGGGGGAAACCCUGAUCCAGCGACGCCGCGUGUGUGAAGAAGGCCUGCGGGUUGUAAAGCACUUUUAGUGGGGAUGAAAAGCUCAGGGCUAACACCUCUGGGUCUUGACCUAACCCAAAGAAAAAGCACCGGCUAACUCUGUGCCAGCAGCCGCGGUAAUACAGAGGGUGCGAGCGUUAAUCGGAAUUACUGGGCGUAAAGCGUGCGUAGACGGUUAUGUAAGUCGGGUGU
rnacentral:rRNA from 1 species